GACGAACGCUGGCGGCGUGCUUAACACAUGCAAGUCGAACGGAAAGGCCCUGCUUUUGUGGGGUGCUCGAGUGGCGAACGGGUGAGUAACACGUGAGUAACCUGCCCUUGACUUUGGGAUAACUUCAGGAAACUGGGGCUAAUACCGGAUAGGAGCUCCUGCUGCAUGGUGGGGGUUGGAAAGUUUCGGCGGUUGGGGAUGGACUCGCGGCUUAUCAGCUUGUUGGUGGGGUAGUGGCUUACCAAGGCUUUGACGGGUAGCCGGCCUGAGAGGGUGGCCGGCCACAUUGGGACUGAGAUGCGGCCCAGACUCCUACGGGAGGCAGCAGUGGGGAAUAUUGCACAAUGGGCGGAAGCCUGAUGCAGCAACGCCGCGUGCGGGAUGACGGCCUUCGGGUUGUAAACCGCUUUCGCCUGUGACGAAGCGUGAGUGACGGUAAUGGGUAAAGAAGCACCGGCUAACUACGUG
rnacentral:rRNA from 1 species